GGAAAAGCGGCGCCCGAGAGCAAGAAGGCAACAGAGAACCCAAUCUACAUCCAAAAGCCAAACCUAAGCAGAACGCGGGGAAGCAGAAGGAGAAUCUCGCGAACGCUCCUCUGCUUCCCCCCUCCCUCGAUCCCUGUCCUCUCCUCUACUCACUCUUACCAUUCACCCUCGAGAUCUUUCCUUUUUUCUGUCCGAUUCCCGGGUUUCAAAUCUUUUCCUUGUCGACUGGAAUCCAUCCUUUCUUGGUUCUGUCCUCCUCUUCUUGGAUCGACGGAGAUGGAGGCGACCGGCCGAAAUGGCAACAAGAGGAUGCAUCAGAGGUUGGGGCCGUCCCAGGCGGCGGCGCCCGACCGCGCCAACAACAAGGUGUGCUACCACUGGCGGGCAGGGCGGUGCAACCGUCACCCCUGCCCCUUUCUCCACAGCGAGAUCCCGACGCCGCAGCAGCAGUCCGCGUCCCCGGAUGGCGGCGUCGCGAAGCGGAACCUCGUCUGGAAGAACCCUAGCAACGCCGGCGCCGCCUCCGGCCCCCCUUCCAAGUGGGGGAAGGGGCGUGGCGGAGGCGCUGUCGGGCAACCCCCUGGCAAAGGCCCCGACAGGGUUUGCAAUUAUUUCCUGGCGGGGAAUUGUACGUACGGCGAGAAGUGCCGCUUCUUGCACUCGUGGUUCGUCGGCGACAGCUUCUCCCUUCUGACCUCACUGCAGGGGCACCAAAAGGCCGUUUCUGGUAUCGCACUUCCUUCUGGCUCGGACAAGUUAUAUUCUGGAAGCAAGGAUGAAUCUGUGAGGGUUUGGGAUUGCCAGUCUGGGCAGUGCGUUGGAGUCAUCAAUGUGGGAGGUGAAGUUGGAUGUAUGAUCAGUGAAGGGCCCUGGAUAUUUAUAGGAGUUCCAAAUGCUGUCAAGGCAUGGAACAUGCAAACUGCAACAGAUCUAAGUCUUGAUGGCCCAAUCGGACAAGUUUAUUCCCUGGUUGUUGGCAAUGAAUUGCUCUUUGCUGGCACUCAGGAUGGACGCAUAUUGGCAUGGAAAUUUAUUGCCGUAGGAAACUGCUUUGAACCAGCAGCAUCUCUUGUUGGGCAUCAACUUUCAGUAGUUUCUUUAGUGGUCGGAGCUGUGAGGCUUUACUCUGGUUCUAUGGAUCACAUGAUAAGAGUGUGGGACCUUGCAACUCUACAGUGUAUCCAGACACUUACUGACCAUACAUCAGUUGUCAUGUCAGUGCUUUGUUGGGAUCAAUUCUUACUAUCGUGUUCACUGGACAAAACCAUAAAAGUCUGGGUAGCUACAGAAAGUGGGAACCUAGAAGUAACGUAUACUCACAAUGAAGAGCAUGGGAUCAUUAACACUUUUAAGCCUUUUCUUUUCUGUUGGAUGUGAGUACAUAUGAAAAUAGAAACAGAGGAUAUAUGAUUGGAUAUGUAUUGAAAAGUUAAAGUUGACCAUAAGAUUAGCCAUUUUGGAAGAUUAUUCAAAUAUGUAUCAUUGAACUCUUGCCAAAAGUUCUAGCAAUACUGGAGUUGUGUCACCUGAACAAUGUAUUCUGUGAUGUGGUGGCUGCACAAUUGCUGUCCCACUGAAACAGGAAAUAAGAGAAGAAAGUGAAUGCAAAUCAAAAGUGGUAGUGACAACUCUCCUCUUUUUCUCCAGCCUUUCUACUUUAAUCUGGAUUUGGUAAGGCAAGGCAAGGCUUGUGAGAAGGAAGACAAGUUAAACAAUAUGGACUUACAUGAGGAUCUGAGGCAAGGAAUUCUCAGCUGGAAUUCUCGAGGGGUGAGGGCAUGAGAUGAGGUGGUGGCGAGGACUCCACACUUUUCCACACACCUCUCAGGAGGUUCUAAGGCAAGGUGAAGCUUGUGAGUUCGCAAGUGGCAAGCUCUCAGAAGGGAUGAUGAUGCUCUGUGAAAGCCUAAAGUUGAAGGGUUUAAAGCUUUUGGACCAAACAUAUCUACUCUGUUAUUCAAAGGGCUUUUGCCACCUUUUAGAGAUCUGGUUCGGGCUUAUAAUGUGAGUUGUUUCACCUGUGAUGUUAGUGUUGGAUUUUCAAAGAACGCCGACUCAGUCUAUUUCAUCUGAUCAUGGGAAAAGUGACGGGGACUUGAAUAUUUGCCUCCUGGAAUUAUGACAUUUGCUGUAAAAUUAAGUAUUUGAGGACAUUGGUAUAUUACAUGGAUACAAUGCCAUUGAAAUAGUCAUAAGAGACUUAAAAAGUUUCUCAAGUUAUGAUCUGCCCGGUUGAAGCUUGUUUUCUAAAUGCGAGUUUCUAACUGUGAUAUAAAUUUAAUGCUUAAAGGCAAUGUUAGAUAUAGGAGGUGAAUGGUGAUAAGUCCUGAUUGAUCUUCGUUAUCAGUAGAUGAAAUAUUGUUGUCUAUGAUGUAUUUGGAGCCAUAGUUCCUUGGAAAGUUCAACUGUACAAUCUUUUAAAUCAAACUCGGUAUAUUGUCAGAGUAGCUUCUGACAAGAACAGGAUUGCCACUUGAAAUGGGAAGAGUAUGUGCGGUUGAUUUGCAUUUAAGAGAUGACAAAAGAAUAGCCAAAGACUUUCUUUCUUUGGGACCGAGGAUACAUGGAACAGGUUGGAAAGUUCUAGGAGAUUUGGGGUGAGUUAUAAGUUUAAUUUCUCGCUUGAGUGUUUAUCUUCUUAUCCAAGCAUUCAACAUUAUGGUUCUUGUGUAGAGCACCUAUACUGUCUAUUGGUUUUAUUGGACAGUGAAAGAAAGCAUUUCAAAGUCUAUAAAAUGUCUAAGAUUCUGCUAAUCUGAAGUUUGAUUAGUAAAUCUUCUAUAUCCAUAGUAGUAGUGUGUACAAACAUCCAAUGAACCAUUUAUGUACAUCUUAUGCUCCUGGUUAAAACAUGAUGUAUUAUUCAAGGGUUGUCAUUUCGAUAAUAUGUCAGACUAGUAAAUACCAGUCAGUACCGGUACACCAUGUGUCAGUAUAUCGGUAUGUAACAAUGUUUUGGAGAGGCAGAAAAAGAACAGGAAAGAGCGGUGGAGGAACAGAGGAGGAAGAAGGAAGAAGGGAGGCAAUGGAGGAGGAAGGAAGAAGGGGAAGCAAUAGAGGAGGAGGAAAAAGAAGACAAAGCGACGAAGGAUGAGGAGGAGGAAGAUAAGGGAAGAAAACAGAGCUGUGGAGGAGGAAGACGAAGAAGAUGGAGCCACAGAGGAGAAGGAAGAAGAGGAUAGGAGGAAGAAGACGGAGCUGUGGAGGAGGAGAAGGAAGCAAGAAGAAGAGAAGAUGAGGGUGUGUACCAGAGAGAAACGACAUUGGACGAGUGAGCGACAUCCCGCGGCAGCAACAAACAAGCCGGCAACAUCCCGCAGCUAUAUUGAAUGAGCGGGCGACGCCCUGUGACGGUAGCAAAUGAGCAAAUGACGUCCCACAACGAUAACGAUGACAUCAAUGACAACAGUGUCAGGGAGUUCUUUCUUUAUUUGGUAUGCUUGAUGCUCAAGCGAAACCCAUCUUAUUAUGUUCUUGCAAUGACAACAGUGUCCGCCUCUAUGACCUGCCGUC